GAGCUGCAACUGGGCCUUGUUCUCUGGUCCAAUUAAUACGUUAUUACUAGACCGAAAUAUUGUGGGCCUAUGUAGUUACUAGUGGAUCCGUCCAAUCCAUCGAAGGAAGAAUAAAAUAUGAAAUCGAGAAAUAAGAAAAGUUGUAUUUGCAGUAGUUGUUCGAUUCGUAUUUCGAGUGAGAGCUGAAAUCGCAGAGGGACAAGAUGAUAUACCGAAAGUGGAGUCUGUUAACGGGCCCGGUGGCUAUCUUGGCCGGGAUCGUCGCUACGGUGGUCGUCGCUGACUUGCUUUUCAUUGAGAACGAUCGAUUUUUUAAACGAGAAGAAAGGAAGCCAGAUGCACCAUCAGCCACCAAAUAGAAGGGGAGCAAAACCACUUUAUGAAUGUUAUGUAAGAUUUUUCUGGUGGUUUGUGUUUGUUAAGUAUGUUUCGGCAAAACGUGUAUCUUUAAGAUGCAAUUUGGGACAAGAGUUCAUAGUUAAAUAAUAUGCAGGUUCUUGAUCAAGUUUCAAGUGCA